GACGAACGCUGGCGGCGUGCCUAAUACAUGCAAGUUGAGCGCUGAAGGUUGGUACUUGUACCAACUGGAUGAGCAGCGAACGGGUGAGUAACGCGUGGGGAAUCUGCCUUUGAGCGGGGGACAACAUUUGGAAACGAAUGCUAAUACCGCAUAAAAACUUUAAACACAAGUUUUAAGUUUGAAAGAUGCAAUUGCAUCACUCAAAGAUGAUCCCGCGUUGUAUUAGCUAGUUGGUGAGGUAAAGGCUCACCAAGGCGAUGAUACAUAGCCGACCUGAGAGGGUGGUCCGCCACAAUGGGAAUGAGACAAGGCCCAAACUCCUACGGGAGGGAGCAGGAGGGAAUCUUCGGCAAUGGACGAAAGGCUGACCGAGCAACGCCGGGGGAGGGAAGAAGGUUGUCGGAUCGUAAAACUCUGUUGGUAGAGAAGAACGUUGGUGAGAGUGGAAAGCUCAUCAAGUGACGGUAACUACCCAGAAAGGGACGGCUAACUACGUG
rnacentral:rRNA from 1 species